rnacentral:tRNA from 1 species
AGAGGAUAGCUCAGUGGUAGAGCACAUGCUUAGCAUGCAUGAGGUCCUGGGUUCAAUCCCCGGUACCUCCA